CGGAGGGAGCGAGCGUUGUCCGAAGUUACUGGGCGUAAAGCGCGCGUAGGCGGGGAAUUAAGUGAGAAGUGAAAGGCUGAGGCUCAACCUCAUGCAGUGCUUCUCAUACUGGUUCUCUUGAGGGUGGUAGAGAGAAGUGGAAUGGCUGGUGUAGCGGUGAAAUGCGUAGAUAUCAGUCGGAACACCAGUGGCGAAGGCGGCUUCUUGGGCCAUUUCUGACGCUGAGGCGCGAAGGCUAGGGGAGCGAACGGGAUUAGAUACCCCGGUAGUCCUAGCCGUAAACGAUGGAUACUAGGUGUCGGGGGUAUCGACCCCUCCGGUGCCGCAGCUAACGCACUAAGUAUCCCGCCUGGGGAGUACGGCCGCAAGGUUG
rnacentral:rRNA from 1 species